rnacentral:rRNA from 1 species
UACGUAGGGACCAAGCGUUGUUCGGAUUUACUGGGCGUAAAGGGCGCGUAGGCGGCUUAACAAGUCGCUUGUGAAAUCUCCGGGCUUAACUCGGAACGGCCAAGUGAAACUGUCAAGCUAGAGUGCAGAAGGGGCAAUCCGAAUUCUUGGUGUAGCGGUGAAAUGCGUAGAUAUCAAGAGGAACACCUGAGGUGAAGACGGGUUGCUGGGCUGACACUGACGCUGAGGCGCGAAAGCCAGGGGAGCAAACGGG